AGCUCCCUCUUUGCCCACUAGCAGGGCAUUAGCUGGUGCUGAAGACAGUGGCUGCUUGGCGAGCCUGGAUCUCCAAGUGACCCCCUCAGCAACUCCUGAUGAACAGGACUGAAGCCAAUAUUAAAGCAAGUCAACCAAAGGUUCUCUGGUGUAGACAAGACAGCAAAAGGACAGACUACCUUGUGGAACCUAGCAUUGUUCUCCUUCUGCAGCACUAAGUAACAUUUGUUCUCCGUUAAGAUCUUUGCAAACCACACACAAGAAUUGCUGGUCAUCCUGCCAAUAGAUGCUGCUCACAGAACCAAAUUUCCUGUGCUGAAUUGUCACUCAUGGGCUUGAGAGUAGGAGACUGGAGACCAAGGUGGCUAGAAUCCAGUUGGGCCUGAUGUCUCCCUGUUGAAAGGGCUCCUUGUGGAAUGAAUAGCACAUGGCUCCUGUGGUGGAUCUGAUAGUGGCAUAGCACCAAGUGAUGCAGGCCUGCCAGGGGCCACAGACACAGAAGAUGCUCCCGGGGUCCCCCAUGUACUCCAGACACACUGCAGGCCACCUCUCCCAGCAGGUUGCCAGUCAUGGGCCCCAUCAUCAUGACUUCUGUCCAAGGUACUGUGUGCAGAAAUGUGAUUGAGAUUCAAGUCAGGGCCUCUCUGCCCUUUUCCCUCCAGAAACAAAACCAAGAUAAUUUAUCCUGAACACGGUGAAAAAAGGAAGGGAGGGAGGAGAAAAAGUCCGGGUCUCACCUGGGAUUCUCUGUCUCCUGCAACAUGAAGGAUUUAGCCUGGGAGGAGGUGGUGAGAACUCUGGGAGAGAAAAAAGAAGGAAAGAAUAGUUUUACCCAUGCUGAAGUUAAUUUAAACCUUCACCUAGAGAAGCAAAAAAAAAAAACCCACACUUUCCCAUUUUGUGCCUCCCUUCCUAGAGUUUUAGCCAAAGGUUUAGCUAAGUAAUUGGUUUUACCAGCGCACUCACUCCUCCUAUCCCAAGUCUGUUUGACUCCCUCCCCAUCAUCCUCCUCACCUCUUUUCAGGCAGGGUGGGGAUAGCAGCAGGAGGAGAUUUUGGGAGCCUGGCAACUCCUGCAAGGACCGCAGGACAGCCCCUCUGUGGGGAUGCGUGGUGCCCCAUCUGCCGCCCUUCUGAAGAAUGCACUGCCUUCACUUUUUACUGUGUUAGAGUCCAUCCAGACUGUUCUAUCCAAAAAAGUUUCUUUUUCCCCCACAGGCAAUCAGGAAAUGAUUCCUUUCCCGACUGCUUCUGUCUAGUGCCUGGGAAUCUUGAGUCAAUCCCUCAGUAAGUCAGUGACUAGGGAAAUCCCUCUCUGAGCCUCCCAGUUCAUGUUGCUUAGGGAACCUGAUAUUUUCGUGAAACCUGCCUACACAUGGGCAGCCCAACAGCAGAACAAAUGGUGGUGACCAAAGUGAACAAAGAAGUAUAGUUGUGCCAGCUUCGUAGUUGCCCAUGUGGACAAGUCAGCAGGAUCAGGACACGAGGAAGAGUAAAUGUGAGACAGUCAAUGUGACUUCUGCGAUAAACAGAUUUUUAAACCCCGAAAUUUUGCAAAAUUUUGGUGAAACCUGAACUUUCUUCGUUGCAUAUACUGGCACUAUCUGUACCAUCAUACAACUGUCUCACAUUAAAGCUAUUUUUCUUGGGCACUGAUGAGUAAGGUUGGUAUAAGUUCCUCAGAUCAACAAAAACCCAUUUUCCUGUAAGUCUUACAUUUAGUAUUUAAGGAACUAAAACUUAAAUACAUUUUGUGAAAUGGUUGACACUUCACUGAUAAUGAUUUAUUGCUUGGAUUAAUAAAUUUUCCAAAAGUUGUCUUAUGUAGAAUAUGGUUUGCAACCAGCAGAACCAUUAAUCUAUACUGCAAUGAUAUGCACUAUGUAUAAUUGUUUAAAAGCCUCUACUUAAUGAUGUAAAAUGCUCUAUUUAAUUACACAUUUGGGUAAACUGUAUACUAACAUCUGAUGGCAUUUUUCCACUGUUUGUUGCUUUUUUCAAAUACUUUAUUGUACAAAGCUGUUCUUAAUAUUUUUCAAGUUUUUUUCUUUGAAUUUUGCUAAUGUUUUCCUUGAAUUAUGAGCACUGACAGAAUGUGCUUAGCACUUUUGGCUAUUCACACAGCUUUUGAGCAUGAUUUGCAUCCAAUAUUUACAUUGCUAGCAAUAAUAAGCCAUCUGUGAGUUUUGUCAAAA
rnacentral:misc_RNA from 1 species